GAAGAGCUUGCUCUUCGAUUCAGCGGCGGACGGGUGAGUAAUGCCUAGGAAUCUGCCUGGUAGUGGGGGACAACGUUUCGAAAGGAACGCUAAUACCGCAUACGUCCUACGGGAGAAAGCAGGGGACCUUCGGGCCUUGCGCUAUCAGAUGAGCCUAGGUCGGAUUAGCUAGUUGGUGGGGUAAUGGCUCACCAAGGCGACGAUCCGUAACUGGUCUGAGAGGAUGAUCAAUCACACUGGAACUGAGACACGGUCCAGACUCCUACGGGAGGCAGCAGUGGGGAAUAUUGGACAAUGGGCGAAAGCCUGAUCCAGCCAUGCCGCGUGUGUGAAGAAGGUCUUCGGAUUGUAAAGCACUUUAAGUUGGGAGGAAGGGCAGUAAGCGAAUACCUUGCUGUUUUGACGUUACCGACAGAAUAAGCACAGGCUAACUCUGUGCCAGCAGCCGCGGUAAUACAGAGGGUGCAAGCGUUAAUCGGAAUUACUGGGCGUAAAGCGCGCGUAGGUGGUUUGUUAAGUUGAAUGUGAAAGCCCCGGGCUCAACCUGGGAACUGCAUCCAAAACUGG
rnacentral:rRNA from 1 species